rnacentral:tRNA from 1 species
GGGGAUGUAGCUUAAUGGUAAAGCAUUUACCUAGCACGUGGAAGGCCCUGGGUUCAGUCCCCAGUACCA